rnacentral:rRNA from 1 species
GAGUAACACGUGGAUAACCUACCUAUAAGACUGGGAUAACUUCGGGAAACCGGAGCUAAUACCGGAUAAUAUUUUGAACCGCAUGGUUCAAAAGUGAAAGACGGUCUUGCUGUCACUUAUAGAUGGAUCCGCGCUGCAUUAGCUAGUUGGUAAGGUAACGGCUUACCAAGGCAACGAUGCAUAGCCGACCUGAGAGGGUGAUCGGCCACACUGGAACUGAGACACGGUCCAGACUCCUACGGGAGGCAGCAGUAGGGAAUCUUCCGCAAUGGGCGAAAGCCUGACGGAGCAACGCCGCGUGAGUGAUGAAGGUCUUCGGAUCGUAAAACUCUGUUAUUAGGGAAGAACAUAUGUGUAAGUAACUGUGCACAUCUUGACGGUACCUAAUCAGAAAGCCACGGCUAACUACGUGCCAGCAGCCGCGGUAAUACGUAGGUGGCAAGCGUUAUCCGGAAUUAUUGGGCGUAAAGCGCGCGUAGGCGGUUUUUUAAGUCUGAUGUGAAAGCCCACGGCUCAACCGUGGAGGGUCAUUGGAAACUGGAAAACUUGAGUGCAGAAGAGGAAAGUGGAAUUCCAUGUGUAGCGGUGAAAUGCGCAGAGAUAUGGAGGAACACCAGUGGCGAAGGCGACUUUCUGGUCUGUAACUGACGCUGAUGUGCGAAAGCGUGGGGAUCAAACAGGAUUAGAUACCCUGGUAGUCCACGCCGUAAACGAUGAGUGCUAAGUGUUAGGGGGUUUCCGCCCCUUAGUGCUGCAGCUAACGCAUUAAGCACUCCGCCUGGGGAGUACGACCGCAAGGUUGAAACUCAAAGGAAUUGACGGGGACCCGCACAAGCGGUGGAGCAUGUGGUUUAAUUCGAAGCAACGCGAAGAACCUUACCAAAUCUUGACAUCCUU